rnacentral:rRNA from 1 species
UACGUAGGGGGCAAGCGUUGUCCGGAUUUAUUGGGUUUAAAGGGUGUGUAGGUGGCCAUGUAAGUCAGUGGUGAAAUAUCUCAGCUUAACUGAGAGGGUGCCAUUGAUACUGCAGGGCUUGAGUACAGUUGAGGUGGGCGGAAUGUGUCAUGUAGCGGUGAAAUGCUUAGAUAUGACACAGAACACCGAUUGCGAAGGCAGCUCACUAAGCUGUAACUGACACUGAGGCACGAAAGUGUGGGUAGCAAACAGG